AGAUUUGGAAAGACUGUGGCCACCAAGUCUUUUAAGUGACAUAGGAGGCUAGCGUGUGAAGGUAACAUAGACAGAGAAGCUAGAGCAAAUUGAACCCCGAAUGCCUACAGAUGAAGAUACUCCGGAAAACGCCUUUUUGAUGCAGGAAGGUUCCAAUCGAUAUCUGACUGUAUUUAAGGCCCACUACAUGCCAGGGAACCCAUGCCUGACACUGCUCAGCUGACUAAGAAUCUGAGAUUAGAUCAGUGCCCUGCUCAGCCGGCAUCAGAGGGGCUUCCUCAUGCCCAGAUGGGAACAAAUCCAGAGACUCACAGCCAAUGUGCAGAGAGUGAGACCUUGGAACACGCAGUUGUUUGUACCAUGUUUGCCAGGUUUUUUGUUUGGUUGUUUGUUUUUUAUCUUACAGGCCCUUUGUGUAUAUAUUACAGCUUCUGGAACUUCCUGUUUUGAGUUUUUAUGGGAUACCUGUGUGUGUGUGUGUGUGUGUUUCUUCAUCCAUGUGUUUCUUGUGCUUUUUCUUUACUUUUUUUUCUUCUGCUCGUUUUGUCUUAUCCCAAUUUGUCUGUUUUUGUUUCAUCUUAUUUUACUUUACUAUCAUUAUCUAAAUGUCCAUUUGUUUUAUAGUAAGACAGAAGGGUGUGAAUUCAGAUGGGAGGAGACUUGGGAACAAUCUGGGACGAGUUGGGGGAAGAGAAACUAUAAUCAAAACAUUGACAAAAAUAAUCUAUUUUUAGUGGAAGAAAAAAAUGGAAGAAAAAAGUCAGUUAAGA